UUUCCGUAGGUGAACCUGCGGAAGGAUCAUUAUUGAAUAAACCUGGUGGGUUGUAGCUGGCUCCUUGGAGCAUGUGCACGCCUGCCAUCUUUAUCUAUCCACCUGUGCACUCUUUGUAGUCUUGGGAGAGAGGAAGAGGACCACGCCAUGUCGGGUAUUGCGCCCGGAAAUGAGGACUGCUGUGUGCACUGUGUACAGCUCUGCCUCUAUGUGUAUCAUCUUCUUCUCCCUGGGUCUAUGUGGUUUCAUUCACCCCUAUAGCAUGUCAUAGAAUGUAAUCAAUGGGCCUACGUGCCUAUAUAAAACAAUUAUACAACUUUCAGCAACGGAUCUCUUGGCUCUC
rnacentral:misc_RNA from 1 species